rnacentral:lncRNA from 1 species
GACAAUGUUUCAAACACCUUCCGAACAAUAUUCCAUUGGCUUUUGUUAUUCACAAUCUUUUCACGUUUGCAUCGAUCUGAACACUUCCAAGAUAUACGAAUCAACAUAGCAGAAGGCAGUGAGGGACAACCCUAAGUCCUUACUUACCCUAACUUCUGCCGCUCGACUCAUAGUUCCAAUGCCUAAACCAGUACUAUCCGAUGGAAAACAAGAACCCAGAGAAGAACAGUGAGCAACACCAUGAGACCAAGAAGAAGGAUUACCUCCACCCAUCCGAAAAGGUCCGACCUCGUCCUCAGAUCCGCCACGGAACGCCGCAACUUCUCCCUUCUCUGACAGAAAUCGGCGAGGAUGAUUAGGAUCUCAAAGAUCACAUCAAGAUCAAGGUGAAGGACGGAGAAAAGAAAGACCUAGGGGAUCACCCACCAAGAGAUCCUCCGUAUCACCAGGCGGUGCAUCGGGGGAGACCGUUCGAAGUGAGCGCGGCGACGAUCGAAGGGAGGAGAGCAAGAGGGCAGCCCGAGCGCAUCGGACGGCGGCGAUCGCCGACUUGG